rnacentral:ncRNA from 1 species
CAGUUGAGAGGGCCGCAUUAGGCGGUUCGCUAGGCAGCAGCCUACUCGGCUG